AGCAGUGUAGCCUAGUGGUAAAGAGUAGGACUUGUAACUGAAAGGUUGCUGGUUCAAUUCUCUCCCAGGCACUGCUG